CCGGGGGUGGCAUCGGGGGUGGCACCGGGAGGGACACCGGUGGCCCACGGGAGGGGACCCCACCCCCGCGUCCCGGCCGGGGCCUCGCGAUGUCCCCCGGCGGUGCCGGUGGCACUCGAGCGUCCCCAGGGGUGGCCCCGGGGGUGACCCUGUCCCGGUGCCACCACCCAGCUGUGCCCGGGAGCUGCCACCGCUGGACGCGGCCCGGGGGUGUCACCGCUGCCUCGGGAUCCUGCUGCGGGCACAGGAGCCGCUGGACAGGGGCCGGAGCCCCGCUCAGGGUGAUGUCCCCAAGGUGUCCCCAGAGCCGCGGUGGCCCCGAGGGGCCCUGUCCUUCCUGACCGAGGAUGGCAGCGACUCCUGGGUGGCCCUUGGGGACAUUCCCGAGGCCGGACCCCUCAGCAGCACCCGCAGGUCCCUCCUGGAUGAGCCGGGGGACAGCGGUGUCCCCUCGCUGUGGCCGGAGUGUCCCCAAGGGGACAGCGGUGUCCCCUCGCUGUGGCCGGAGUGUCCCCAAGGGGACCCCGCUGUCCCCCUGCCACCCCUGGCCUCCAGCACUCUGCUCUGGGAGCGGGACCAGCCCCAGGAGCCACCCCCGAGCCGCAUUUUGGGGACAAGGACACGAGGUCCCCCCAACCCCAGCCUUGGGGACACCCCUGUCCCCUGUCCCCGUUCUGCUGCCGGGGUGUCCCCGAGGCGGCGCCAGGGCGGGGUUUUGGGGACACGCGCGGGGUCCCCGAGGUCCCCCCUGCCCCGCAGCUGCUCGGUGACACCGCAGGGCUCGGGGGACAUCGCGGGUGGCACCGCCGGGGGACGGGGAGGGGCUGUCCCCAAGGGGCAGGUGACAGAGCCGAGGGGUGGGGACCCCGCUGGAAUUGGGGACAGCAGCGGAUUUGGGGACCCCGCUGGAUUUGGGGACACCGCUGGAAUUGGGGACCCCGCUGGAUUUGGGGACCCCGCUGGAAUUGGGGACACCGCUGGAAUUGGGGACACCGCUGGAUUUGGGGACACCGCUGGAAUUGGGGACCCCGCUGGAAUUGGGGACCCCGCUGGAAUUGGGGACCCCGCUGGAUUUGGGGACAGCAGCGGAUUUGGGGACAGCAGCGGAUUUGGGGACAGCACCGAGAGCUUCGUCACCGCCCGGGAGUCCCUGGAGGCCGAGGGGGCUCAGCCCG
rnacentral:lncRNA from 1 species